rnacentral:rRNA from 1 species
UACAGAGGUCUCAAGCGUUGUUCGGAUUCAUUGGGCGUAAAGGGCGCGUAGGCGGCCACCGCAAGUCAGUUGUGAAAUCUCUGGGCUUAACCCAGAACGGUCAGCUGAUACUGCGGGGCUAGAGUGCAGAAGGGGCAACUGGAAUUCUCGGUGUAGAGGUGAAAUUCGUAGAUAUCGAGAGGAACACCGGUGGCGAAGGCGGCCUUCUGGACAGUGACUGACGCUGAGACGCGAAAGCGUGGGGAGCAAACAGG